rnacentral:rRNA from 1 species
CCCCGAAGAGGGGGAUAACUGCUGGAAACGGCGGCUAAUACCCCAUAUGGUCGGCGAUUCGUUUCGCUGAUUAAAGCUCCGGCGCUUCGGGAGGGGCCUGCGGCCGAUUAGCUAGUUGGUGGGGUAAUGGCUCACCAAGGCGAUGAUCGGUAGCUGGUCUGAGAGGACGAUCAGCCACACUGGCACUGACACACGGGCCAGACUCCUACGGGAGGCAGCAGUGAGGAAUAUUGCGCAAUGGGCGAAAGCCUGACGCAGCAACGCCGCGUGGGCGAUGAAGGCCUUCGGGUCGUAAAGCCCUUUUCUGGGGGAAGAGGAAGGACGGUACCCCAGGAAUAAGUCUCGGCUAACUACGUGCCAGCAGCCGCGGUAAAACGUAGGAGGCAAGCGUUAUCCGGAUUUACUGGGCGUAAAGCGCGCACAGGCGGUUCUGUAAGUUGGACGUGAAAUCUUUCGGCUCAACCGGGAGGGGUCGUCCAAUACUGCAGGACUUGAGGUCGGGAGAGGGAAGUGGAAUUCCCGGAGUAGUGGUGGAAUGCGUAGAUAUCGGGAGGAACACCAGUGGCGAAGGCGGCUUCCUGGCCCGCACCUGACGCUAAAGCGCGAAAGCGUGGGGAGCGAACGGGAUUAGAUACCCCGGUAGUCCACGCCGUAAACGAUGGGUACUAGGUGUUGGUGGUAUUGACCCCAUCAGUGCCGAAGCUAACGCGAUAAGU